rnacentral:rRNA from 1 species
AUUGAACGCUGGCGGCAGGCCUAACACAUGCAAGUCGAGCGGCAGCGGGAAAGUAGCUUGCUACUUUUGCCGGCGAGCGGCGGACGGGUGAGCAAUGCCUGGGAAAUUGCCCAGUCGAGGGGGAUAACAGUUGGAAACGACUGCUAAUACCGCAUACGCCCUACGGGGGAAAGCAGGAGACCUUCGGGCCUUGCGCGAUUGGAUAUGCCCGGGUGGGAUUAGCUAGUUGGUGAGGUAAUGGCUAACCAAGGCGACGAUCCCUAGCUGGUCUGAGAGGAUGAUCAGCCACACUGGAACUGAGACACGGUCCAGACUCCUACGGGAGGCAGCAGUGGGGAAUAUUGCACAAUGGGGGAAACCCUGAUGCAGCCAUGCCGCGUGUGUGAAGAAGGCCUUCGGGUUGUAAAGCACUUUCAGCGAGGAGGAAAGGUUGAUGCCUAAUACGUAUCAACUGUGACGUUACUCGCAGAAGAAGCACCGGCUAACUCCGUGCCAGCAGCCGCCGUAA